UUACGAUACCCGGGUAGUCCACACUGUAAACGUGAUUACUCGCUGUGUGCGAUAUACAGUACGCGGCCAAGCGAAAGCGAUAAGUAAUCAACGUUUA
rnacentral:rRNA from 1 species